rnacentral:rRNA from 1 species
UACGAGUGGUGCUAGCGUUAUUCGGAUUUAUUGGGCGUAAAGGGUGCGUAGACGGUAUGACAAGUCUGUUGUUAAAUUCCUCGGCUCAACUGAGGAUCUGCGAUGGAAACUGGCAGGCUUGAGGGCGAGAGAGGAGGGUGGAAUUCCUGGUGUAGCGGUGAAAUGCGUAGAGAUCAGGAGGAACACCCGUGGCGAAGGCGGCCCUCUGGCUCGACCCUGACGCUGAGAGGCGAAAGCGUGGGGAGCGAACGGG